CUCAGAGAAGAACAGUGUAGAAACCCGCGCUGUGUGAAGCGAGGUUGGGCGCAAGAGAAGCAGGCAUGACCUGGCCAACGGGGAGGCCGGAAGUCCUCGCCUUUCUGGUCUUUCACGUUGGCAGCGCCUCUGCUGGGCCUCGGGCCGCUCACCUGCGGAAGGGGCCGCGCUCUUCACCAUGGACUCCACCGCCUCCUGCACCCGGAGCUGCUGCAGCUCAGCCAUGGCGACCCCGCGCUGCCCCGCGGCGCUCCGCGCCGGCGCCCAUAUGGAAUCGGCGUACGGGC
rnacentral:lncRNA from 10 species